UUUCCCUCGUCCUCUCUCUCUCUCUCUUUCUCGCUCUCUCUGUCGCUCAGCUCUCUUGCUCGUGCACGCUAAUUUUAGCGAUCAGCCAUUUUGGACAUCCAUAAGGCACGAUGCGCACGAGUGAGGGAGCGAACUAUGAUCCCCUUGCUCUCCUACGGAAAUAAGCGUGUCCCUCUUCUCCGACGACGACGCCUCGAGUGCGUGUCGCAUGAACGAUGAUGCGUCAUUGCCAUCGCGGGGGAAGAAUCUCUCUUGAACCGGUCUCGCGAAUUGCGCACACGCUGCACGUAUCUCGGCCCUGCUUGCUCGGUCGCACUCGUGGCUCCCGUGUUGGACACAAAACUGAUACCUUCUUAUCGAUGAUCGGCCCCGCCGAUAAAAGGAAUGUCGCGACCGCAUGCGACUGUAUUUCUGGAUAAACGCGUUUUUUUUUUGCGAUGUUCCCUGCUGAUCGAAACACGCAUCGGAAAAUUGUGUAUUGCACCUUGAGGAAGUAAAGCUUCACAUGUCAUGUAUUCGAAACUGAUCCUGCAAUGUUGCGAUAUUUUUAUUGAUGGAUUCGCCUCGAUGUAGUCUUCGAAGCUUGAACAUCUGUUUGUUUAUACAAAAAUCAAACGAACAGUUUAGCCCCAAAAUACAUAGGUAUCUAGUGCAAAUAUCUUGGCCUUUUAUCUGUUUGUUCUUCGCAACAUAUCUUCAAUACGUUCUCUACAUUAAGAAGAAGAAGGUAGCUGUGGGGAACAUAGUGAUUUAACUCGAAGCAAGUGCUUUAUUGUUGUAUCGUUGCUCGGCAGUGUCUAUUUAUUAGUGUACAUUCAGAAUGUACAGCGUUGGAUCAGACGAAUAACAGAUAUUCUUGUAAACAAUUUGCAUCACGCGUCCGAUGUAUUCGGCAUUACAAAUUUGCAUGCUGCGAACAUUUGAAAAUGAUAUUACACAAUGAUUAAGCUUAUAUAACUACAUAAAAUGAUUUGAACUUCGCGGUAUGACAUGCUCGUUUGGAGAAAACGUGAGAAACUUAUUGAAUUAAUUUUCCUAUGUCGUCAUGCCUAACCAUCGAUUAUCCAUUUUCUCAUUUCUCCCUCUCGUGUUUUUAUAUGAAAAUUGUAUAUGUUUUAAGAUUAUAAGAUUAACAAAAUCCCAAGAAAUAUCUUUUUUUUCAUCUCCAUUAGUGUUUCAAGCACUUCUGAUAACAUUAAAAAACAUUCAAUAUGUUGAUUGCUGAUAUCUCACAUCUCCAUUUUCAAAGAUUUUUCAAGUAUAAAGUAUCAUGAAUCUUUCGCUUGCCCGUCUUUAUCAAUGUUAAUAAAUCAAAAUGCCAGAAAUGUAUUAUAAUAUCUCGUUAUUUAAAUAAUCGAUAUUUUAAUAUCGGUUAAAGAAAUACAUAGAAUACAAUAGCUCCCCUUGAAAUAUGUAAUAUGAAUAUUUAUACAUUAUUUCGUAAUGUAACAAUUACUACAUUUACACGAGCGCUACUUCCGUAGUAACUUACUCGAAUUAUAAUAACUUACGAUAAUUCUCUGCGUGUAAACGGGGUAAACCGAUAAUUCACUGCGUGUAAACGGGGUAAGUUACUAUAAUUCGAGUAAGUUACUACAGAAGUAGCGCUCGUGUAAAUGUAGUAAUUGUCGCAAUAAAGAGUAGAUAAAGAAAGAACGAACGAAUUUACGAACGAAUGCUUCGUACGUCGUUUACAUAUCGUACAAAUUGCGAAUUGCUGUGUCAUCUAAUGAUAAGUACUCCACUGGUUCAAUAGUGAUCGCUUAGUAACUCGUCUAUCGCUUAAAUUAGAUAUUACAAUGCAUAUCUGCCAUUUUUGUUCACUAAUAUUGUUGGGAUAAUAUCGAUUACGCUAUUUUUCUAUAGAAUUUUAUUUAAAUUGUAAUCGAUCAGUUUGUAAUAUCUUAUAUCCAAGAAAUCUCUAACAAUUAAGAUACGAUAUCAGCAGUGAUAUUAAAUAUUUAUUGUUAUCAAUGGUAACCUUAUCUGAUAUAAUCACAAUUUUUGUUUCAAUUUAUUUUUUGUUUUUUUAUGUGACAAAUUUUUUAUCCAAAUAUUUAAUAAAGCAGAUAAAAGUUAAUACAUAUUAAAUUUAAUAUUAAUCUCAUAAAUUUACGAUAAAUCUACUUGGAUUUAAUAAAAUUAAAUAAAAUUCAUUUUAUAUUACAAUUUAAUAAAGAUAUUAUUUUUCACGGUACAUCUGUAAUGCUCGUGAUUUCGCACUAUUUAGAUUUAGAUGUUUGAUAUAUGUAUUUAAUUAGAUUACAUGACGUUAUAAAAAAAUGCUUAAAUAGCUAUCGGUGAAUAUCGGAGGCUAAACAAUCUAUAUGUAAAUAAUCGUAAAGAAUUUUUCUAUUUCGCAGUUUUUGUUUUUUCCAUUACUCUUUCUCUCUUAAUUUCAUCGUGAUGGGCAAUGAGAAUUAAUCUGUAUUUAUAUUAUUUAUACACUCCUAUCAAUAAAUAUAAACGAAACUUUUCUCGAUCAGCUAUCAAUACAGAAAAUUUAUCUCUGAAGGUUGAACAUUUUACAGCAUUAAAAUGUGUAUGAAUAAUUUAUAUAUAUUUUAUAUGGAUGGACAAGAAAAAAUAUAAAUAAUUAUUUAGCUAGAUAGCUAUUUAAAUAGAUAUUUAAAAAUUUUUAAUUCUCCCUCUCUGCGUAUACGCGCGCUUUUGCUCUCAUUAUUUCUCUUUUUCUUCUUCAAAUUAAAUAAUAAUGAUAAAAAUAUUAAGAAUAAAAGCACAGUGUAUUAAUUAAGAAUUAAAAACAUUGUUUUGUUGCAUCCUAUGUACUUUUUCAAAGGAAUAGGUGCUUUUAAGUUGCAAAGAUAAUUUGAGAUUAUUUCAUUAAACGGUGAUAAGUUAAAUGUUCCUCCUUUGUUCGCACGAGAAUCGCAAGAUGUUUUUUGUAUUUAUCUGACUAAGAUGGCCUGCCGCUUUGACCCUUAAACAUGUAUAGCGUUUUCGAUAACGAUGCAAAAUAAUACUUCUUAAUCAAACGUUAGUGGUUCUCAUGUCAGUACGAGACAUAAAAUUUCCGCAAUACAAACAUCUCGCAUACGAAUAAAUACUCUGCGAUUUAUCGCGUUGCAAUUCUACGUUUUGCGAUAUAUGUGCCGUAUAUAUAUAUAUCGAUAUAAAUAAAACAUAUGUAACAUUAUACAUAAUAUUUCAUAGAGAUAACAUAAAAUAAUCUUGCCAUUUGCUAUAGUGCAGCCGAGAGAGGAAUGUGUUGUCUUCUAAGAACGAUAUGAUAAUAUUUAUUGGAAGGAAUGUGUUUUUGUCAGCAAUGAAGUGACAUUACAAGUCACGCGCAUUCACUUUCUCUGAAUCCGAAUCGCCAGCAGCUUCUCGCAAGCAAAAGCAAAAGCAUGCCAGAACGGGUUUCAUGGCGAGGAAAGCAUUUGUCGGGGAUUGUCAAGCCGACACUCACGAUCGACAACAGCAUAAACAAAACUUCUAAAUUAUUUAUCAAAUUAAAUAUUUGUUUAUUCAAUACGCACACAUGCACAUUAUUCAAAAUAUGUUUGCCAUUUAAUUUAAUUGGACACAGAGAUAGUCAGGAAAACCGUAAACGAAAAUCGUAACGAGAUUUCCAAUUUGGUCCGGACCUGGGUCAACCUAUUCCACGACCUUCCACCAGGUCUUUCACGUUACUCGUGAAUCAUUAAACAGAAUCACUCCCACUGAUCAGCCAACCGCAAGAUAUUUCUACGAGGCACUGUUCAAUUCUUGUUCACGGGAUUAGGAUUCAAUUUUGAGAGAUUAAUCUAAUCUCGCGCAUGCGAGUGUGUAUUAAUGUCGUGUUCAUUGUAUAGAUAUCCGUCGUUCGAUCGGCGAGCUACUACGAACCGAGCCGAGCACUCGGUAGUAGACGUAGAGUGACCUUGCCCGAAGAUUACUUUUCUCUAGAGGAGACAUCGGCGUACGAAUCGGCGCCGUUACCCGGAUCAAUAUACCGGCGCUGGUGCCGAAGACGCGUGCGCACCGCAGGGUAGACCGACCCGGGUCCCGAGAGUCGUCAAACCACGAAGAGACGAGCGACUAGUCCAGUUGUGCUAGCGAGAGGCCGACCUCCUCGACUCGCGAGCCUACCCCUGCGCGAGAAUCGAUUCUCUCUCGGCGACACGACAGACCUGCUCCACUUUUUCCCUUCUCUCUCUAACUCUGUCUGUCUAUCUGUCUGCUCUCGGACUUCGUCGUUCUUCUCUCUCCCUCUCUGCUCCCGGGAGUGUGCUGUCGAGGGAAAAAGAUCUGGGUACACCUGGUGAUCAACGACAGCGACUGCGGCAGCCGCGUCACCGUCGCAAAUCACGACUUAUGCGUCUGUACCGAGCAGAAGGACAUUCAGUCCCAUUCAGUCCUUGCGACUUUCACUAUCAUGAUCCUGAUACAGUCCGUUUCGCCCGAAAAUCAUCCGGAUGAUCGUUAACGUCCUAACCGGAUGAGACACACCGGUCUGAUGACAUCAUCUAUGCCC